UGAUAUUUUCAAACGUGACAUCAAGCUGUACGGCGAACGUCAUUGAUACGCGACAAACGUCAUUAUUCUGCGUCCUGAUAUAAGCGGGAAGAAAAACAACAUCCAUGGGGGACGAUGAUGAGGAUUAGAUGCCUCCGGUCGGAAGAUAACUUCAAAAUCCCGGUAAAACGCUGAGCACGCUCUCUACUGCGCAUGCGGGACACUUUCAGGUCGUUUGCAGUUCACACAGGAGAUCACGCACGUUUGAGACUCCCCAUCUGAAGCCUUGAGAUGCUUGUCAGGUGCUGCGAUGGUAGACGUGCAGCAGAUUGUGCUACAGCAGACUCCAGAUUUAAGUGCGCAGCUGUUGGUAGACCUCCAGGUCCCAGACUCCAAACGAGGCUGACCUAGCUGCUCAGCUUGGUCAUUUCUCCCAUGUCUCAUCUCAUGAGCGCCUGGAUAAGAAGGAGCCGUUCCCCGCAGCGAGGGUUUCGGGAGGAAGGGAGGGUGAAAUCUUGCAAUGACAUGGGAUCUGUCCUGGUUUUCGCUCUGCCCUAUUUGCUUUGGCUUCUACAGCUGUCGAUUGGUGCAGACAGAAAGAGGUGACCACAAUAAAUUAACUUGGUUUUAGCGGUUUUGUUCACUUUGAUUUGAGCAAACAAGAUAGUGUCUUAAUUUGAACAUUCUAGUCUGAUUAUUUGAUCUUUUUAACCAGAUUUUGUCUGUGUAUAUUCACUUUUGAGCUUUUAACUCCUUUAAGUGUUUUUUUUAUUGC